rnacentral:rRNA from 1 species
CCUACGGGCGGCAGCAGUGGGGAAUAUUGGACAAUGGGCGAAAGCCUGAUCCAGCCAUGCCGCGUGUGUGAAGAAGGCCUUCGGGUUGUAAAGCACUUUCAGUGGGGAAGAAAGCCUUGGGGCUAAUACCCUCGAGGAAGGACAUCACCCACAGAAGAAGCACCGGCUAACUCCGUGCCAGCAGCCGCGGUAAUACGGAGGGUGCGAGCGUUAAUCGGAAUUACUGGGCGUAAAGCGCGCGUAGGCGGUCUGAUAAGCCGGUUGUGAAAGCCCCGGGCUCAACCUGGGAACGGCAUCCGGAACUGUCAGGCUAGAGUGCAGGAGAGGAAGGUAGAAUUCCCGGUGUAGCGGUGAAAUGCGUAGAGAUCGGGAGGAAUACCAGUGGCGAAGGCGGUCUUCAGGACUGACACUGACGCUGAGGUGCGAAAGCGUGGGUAGCAAACAGGAUUAGAUACCCUUGUAGUC